GGGCGGGGCCAACGGACCGCGGAGGCGGAGCCGCUACAGUCUGGGCGCUGGAGCGGUGGGAGCAGCGCUCGUCCGCCGUUGGGGCCCCCAGCCCGCGCGCGUGAAGCAGCUAGCCGACCAAGCCCCGGAAGGCGAGUGCCGGAGGGGGCGGGACAGCUCCUCCGGGGCCAGCGGGCACCAGGCUUGGGGGCUGAGGCCCAGCGGCCCGAGACCAACUGGGCUGACCGAGGCCGCCUCCCCGCCAGCCCUGGGGUCCACUGCCCGGGGAGCAGCUCCCUUCCCAGGUCAGACUCGGGCUUCAUCCUCUCUUGCCGCGCGCCGAGCGGUUUUCAACUCUCACUGCUAGAAUUCCUCCAACCACCCAGGAUAGCAGGACCGAGAUACAUGGCCACCCAUGACCCGGAGCGUCCACUUCCAGGGACAGGCAGUGGUGAUUGGCUUCGGUUGUCAUCUGUGCCAUCUGUCCAUGGUUCGAGAAGCUGCUGUUCACGUUUUGGGGAGGAUCAUGGUUUGAGGGCUCCCGUGGUAGAAUUUGGGGAGCUCUCAUAGGCAGAAGGCUGAGAAAAGUUGGUGCUGUGGGAAGUCAACUGGCAGCCGAUGGAGUCGGGACCCGGGAGGAAUGGAAAGGGAACCCAGAUAGGAAGCUACUGCAGUAGGCUCAGAGAGGUGAUGACGGCAGGGCUAAGACAGCGGCCUUGGGCGGUGACUGGGAAGAACGUUGAACACCGUGUUUGGGCUGAAGAAAAGAGCAAGGGAAGAGUCCCAGCUGCUCUGGAGUUUGAGGCAGGAGGAUGGCUUGAACCCAAGAGGUGGAGGCUGAAGUGAGCCAAGAUCGCGCCACUGCACUCCAGCCUGGGCGACAGGGCAAAACCCUGUCUCUAAAAAGAACUUUUUAAAAAAGCACCUGUAGAUUUAAGCACAUAAUAACUACACUUUUGUCUGUUUUAUUAUGAUAUCAAAGUUAAAUUUAUGAUGAAUGACUAACUGGACAAAACUGAGAGCAACCACCACAGAGGUGAAUAUACUGAAUGUAUAACACUCUCUAAUAAUUUUAAGAACUCCGCUCUAAUGAGCAGAUAUCACAGAAAGAGACUUUUCAGAUGAAAUACCGAUGACCAGGAAAUCUGUGAGACCAUUUUAAAAAAUUCGAAGUCAUUGAAGAAAUGCAAAGCUUCCAGGCUCCACUUUUCACUGAUGAAAUUGGCAGAGUUUGGGACAAUGAGAUGUUGCUGUCCCGGGAGUGCGGAUGGGGCUGUGUCCUGUGAUGGCGGUGGGCACUGGCACUCUUGUCCAGAAAGACAUUCACCACUGUGGUUCAAGAAGCACCUCAAAGGUCUUCACCUUGGUCCCUUGUCCACCUCUGCCCGCGGUCUCUCCUCCUUUCAGCCUCCUCUUUCCCACACAGUCCCUCCCGCCCUGGCUUGGUCCCCUUUCUUCUGACUGGGUCAGGCAUGUGGGUGACUCUUUGACUUCCAAGGCUCUGUCUACUUGGCUUUUUUCUUUCACCUGUUCUGCAGAAUAACAGCCUGAUUCGUUCCUCUUUUUGGGUCCUUCACUUCCAUACCUGGGAUUCGGGGCGUGGCCCAGAAAGACCCUGCAGUCUUGCAGUGUGGGGCUGCCAGCAUUUCAUGGCCUCCAAGCUCAGCUGGGCUGAAUGAACGCUGCCAUCCAGCGCUUGGCUCAUUUUCUGUCCCAUUUUCCUGAGUGCUUUUGCCAGACUUACACUUUUCUGAAAGCUACUCCACCCUACCCCAGACACACCCUCUCUCCUCGGAUGACCUGCCUCCUAAUUUCCUGAGAAAACUGGACAUGGCCACCUUUCCCCAGUGUCUGAGGCCCAGGUUGACCCGUGGUCAUGGUCGCUGUCACCACCCACCUGCCUGUAUGACAGAGUGAGACCCUGUCUCAAAAAAAAAUAAAAAGAAUGCCUCAUGUUAAAAAAA
rnacentral:lncRNA from 1 species